rnacentral:rRNA from 1 species
GCAAGCGUUAUCCGGAUUUAUUGGGCGUAAAGGGUGCGUAGGCGGUUAAAUAAGUCUAUGGUAUAAGUUCAACGCUUAACGUUGUGAUGCUAUAGAAACUGUUUAACUAGAGUUGGAUAGAGGCAAGUGGAAUUCCAUGUGUAGCGGUAAAAUGCGUAAAUAUAUGGAGGAACACCAGUAGCGAAGGCGGCUUGCUGGGUCUUAACUGACGCUGAGGCACGAAAGCGUGGGGAGCAAACAGG